UGAAACUAUUAAUCUGGUUACAUUUAGAAGUGAAAGUUUUCCACAGAGAAAACAUUGGAUUCUAUUAAAUAAAAUAUGACAAAAAGAGAGAAAAUAGGAAAAAUAAAAAGAGAAGAGAAAGAUGGAAGAGAAAGCAGUAAUGUUCAAACAUGAUUCAUGAUCUGCAAUGGUAUUGGUAUCUAAAAUGAAUAAAUCAGAACUUCGAUCAAUGGAAGAACCAACGAAAAUUAGACAAUACAAAAGAAAGGGUAAAUAAACAUGGAUAUAUGAUAAAUUAGAGAAAAGCCAAAAUUCCCAUCAUAGAAAAAACCUGGGAAAAUGUCAUUGUACUCUCAUUCAAUUUAGGGGGUUAUCCCAUACCAACAAGGGUGCCAUAAAAAGCUAGUCCAAUCUCACAAUCAGCUAUCCCCUGGAAAAAUUGGACCUGCCUCCAAAAUGGAAGAAAUCCAAAACCAAAAAUGGAAUACACUGCGUUUCCACUCAUACUCCAAUAACCCAUCAAGCUCAUACCUACAUCCCUCUAAAGAAUGACAUGAUAUUGUUGGAUACAAGGUAUAGCCACACCAAUACACACUAUCAGUCCAUCAACAUGGAGUGUCUAGUACAGCCCUUUCUGGUGUGAAGAACAAUAUGCACCUCCAACGUUUACAAAAUGUGCCUUAUUUUCCAAGAAACUUCAGCAGUUCAGCCACGUUCUCGCUGGCAGUUACCAGGCAAGAGAUAUUUGUAUUUAUCAGCAUUAUUCAAUAAAUACGAAGGAAGGUGAACUGCUGAGUAAGAAUGAGGAAUAGGACCCAUUUUCCCUAUGAUCUCCUUAAAUGUGUAUUCCUCAGGAAGCAUAUCAAAUAAGUCAGUCCCUUUACAAAUCACAUCCUGAACCCUUUUGGGGUUCAAGUAAUGAGAGAAUCUCACCCGAUCAUAAUGGCUGUAAGCUUUCAUCUUAAAUAUGAAGUCACUAAUGUAUCGGAAACAAAAGCUGCAAUGCCAACCUGAAUCUGACAAGAGGACAUCAGCCUGGCGAUAAUGAGCAUAUCUAGUUUUCCCUGUCCUGUAGUUAUGAACUGAAGCACGCCAGCUCUUGUUAUCUACAUAAUACUCAAAAGAGUACAAGUAAUUUCUCAGCUGAAGAUGAAGGAUAGGUGGGAUGUCAUCACACCACCUCAAGAGAUUAAUUGUGUGAGCACUAGGGAUCUCAUCAACAUCAGACAUUAUCAACAAGUCAUCAUCUUCUAUACCUGCUAUUCUAAUAAGCUGGUCCAGUACUACUCGCUGAUAGGCCUCUUCCACAAAGGGGUUUUCCCCUUUCCUAAAUCUCCCCCCAAUUGUCCCAUAAGUCAAACGGGACUCUAUAAAUUUGAACUUAUCCCGAUUACUACCAAAGACCAAUGGUUUGGGUAGGCCAGUGAACGUUGAGUUUGAUUCAAGAAGUACAAACUGAGUUAUGUGAGGAUACAAUUCCUUCCAUCGAAUUGUAAGAAUAUCUACUUCAUUACUGAAUAGAACUGCAUCAAAAACUCGUCUAGGUGAUUCACGAAUCCCCCACCCGUGAAGCCUGCAAAGAGUCUCCAUUGAAACAUUCUCAUGAUAGUAGUGAGGAAUUAUCUGAAAGGGCUUUGGAGGAGAUUCCCAUAAUGGUCUUAGGAAAUAGGAGAUCUUCUGGCCAUGCAAAUACAAUCCAAACAAUCCUAAUGGAACAACCACAAACAAGAAUACAUAGGUCUUCAAAUCCAACCCUCGCAAAAUACACUUCAGUCUUGACAUGCUCAAAGCUACACCGGAGGCCCGGCCACAAACGUCUUCACAUAUAUCAUCAGUCUUCUUCGAAUUGUAAUACCCAUCAGACAUGAUUACCACAAAACUUUCUAUGAUCAAGUUCUAAUACCACCCUACAAAUUGACCCAAAAAAAAACACAAAUGCUCAAUCAAAUUCUCUGUUUAAACCCGUCUUUCUCAAAACAAAAUUGAGAGAGAAAAGAGAUCACUAGGAACCCAGAUCAAACACCUUUCUCCCCUCUUCAACCAGCACCCCCAACCCAAAUUCCCAAAAGAAAAAUCAGGAAAGUAUAAUCCCAGAAAAUCCUAAGGAUCCCUCUCCCUUUCCAACUCUCUCUCUGUGGCUUGUAUAGCCGUUUGGUGGUUUGUAUUAAGCCCAAUCACCAGAUAAAAACUAUAAUUUUCCGAGAAAAAAAGAAAAAAUCCAAUAUAUAUAGAGAGAGAAACGUGGACACAGACA
rnacentral:misc_RNA from 1 species